rnacentral:rRNA from 1 species
UGGGGAAUAUUGCACAAUGGGCGCAAGCCUGAUGCAGCGACGCCGCGUGAGGGAUGAAGGCCUUCGGGUUGUAAACCUUUUUCGCUCAUGGUCAAGCCGCAGCUUUGGGUUGUGGUGAGGGUAGUGGGUAAAGAAGCGCCGGCUAACUACGUGCCAGCAGCCGCGGUAAUACGUAGGGCGCGAGCGUUGUCCGGAAUUAUUGGGCGUAAAGGGCUUGUAGGCGGUUGGCCGCGUCUGCCGUGAAAUCCUCUGGCUUAACUGGGGGCGUGCGGUGGGUACGGGUUGACUUGAGUGCUGUAGGGGAGACUGGAAUUCCUGGUGUAGCGGUGAAAUGCGCAGAUAUCAGGAGGAACACCGAUGGCGAAGGCAGGUCUCUGGGCAGUAACUGACGCUGAGGAGCGAAAGCAUGGGUAGCGAACAGG